rnacentral:rRNA from 1 species
AUUGAACGCUGGCGGCAGGCCUAACACAUGCAAGUCGAGCGAGCGGCGGACGGGUGAGUAAUGUAUGGGGACUGCCCGAUAGAGGGGGAUAACUACUGGAAACGGUGGCUAAUACCGCAUACUAUCGGAUAACCCAUAUGGGAUUAGCUAGUAGGUGGGGUAAAGGCUCACCUAGGCGACGAUCUCUAGCUGGUCUGAGAGGAUGAUGAGCCACACUGGUACGGAGACAGUGCCCAGACUCCUCGGGCGGCGUCGGUGGGGAAGAUUGCACAGUGGGCGCAAGCCUGAUGCAGCCAUGCGGCGUGUAUGAGGAAGGCCUUAGGGUUGUAAAGUACUUUCAGCGGGGAGGCGUUACCCGCAGAAGAAGCACCGGCUAACUCCGUGCCAGCAGCCGCGGUAAUAC